UCUCCCAGGCCACCUCAUGACAUGGGGCCUCUCACCCCUUGUAUUAGAUUUUGAUGCCACUCUGACAGUCACUAGCAGGGACUAGCAUCCCCUACUUGAGUCUUCUGAUUAAAAUAUAAUUUAGAAGGACCAGCAGAGGUUUAAUGUCAUGAGAUAGGAUCUGAACAGGGUUUUGGACAGGCGAAGAUGGCAAGAAUCUAUAUUAUUCUAAGUAAAAGAUUGAAAAAAAAAAAACAAAACUAGAGUUAGGCCAUAGAUACAAAGAUUCAUGUUUCUUUCGGUGAAACACACAGGCCCAACUAAAGUCUGUCACUUCUCCCUCCACCCCAUGGGUUACUUCCUCUUUAUUAUUUUUAUGAAAAAAAAAAAAACAGCCCAGGACUUUUGCCAGCAGACAUUGCUGGAAUGUUACAUGAAAUGAGUUCUAGGCAGCCUCAGAUAUCAACAGAUGCAUGUGCAGUUUUCAUCAAGUGAGGAGCCGUGACUGUCUGACAAGGUCCGUCCUAGAAGCAGGCUCUUAAGCGAAGAUGAGCACAGCUAAAAGGGGCUCCGGAGGCAAAUGGUAGGAAGAUGGUGUCUAACAGACAAAACCGAAAGCAGAGGGGAGGGGCAUGAUGGCUUCGGUGUUUAUCCUUAAACAUCCUCGCAUUCAUUGCGUCUGCAUUUCUCAAACCAGAGAUGCUGACAUUCGAAAUAUACAAAAGUUCUUCUGGUAAUUUUGCCAAUCCUAGAUUACGCUUUACGUAGAGGACUAAGCCUAAAAGAAUCCCAUAAAAUUCUGGUUUCAUGGGGAACUCUAGCACAAAGAUGGCGUCGUAAAGCCUGUCUUGCCUUGAAAAGGAGAUGCUGACUUUGGUGAUGUACGCAUGCCUACUUCUGGCUCUGCAGGGGAGGAUGGAAGCCCAAACAACCCAUGUUUGGGUGUUGGUUAUGGGUAGCAAACUAUGAUCGCUAAGGACUGGCUCCGACUGUUGGAUGUAGCAGGAGUUAUCAAUGGCUACUGUGUUUCCGGAUAAAUUCUACUGUGCCUACAGCACACCCAGUGUAGACCACCACCUUAGAAAGGUCAGCCUUUCUAAGAGAUACUGUUAAAAUAAAACCAAUUUAGAAUUGAGUUUGAAGCCUAAUCUUAUAAGAACCAUUAACUUUUUAGCUAUACAAAAGAAAACGAACACAUCCAGGUUGGUAGUCGGUAACAUUAUAAAUAACACAUAUGUCAAUAUGUUGACAACCGGAGUCAUGCUGGGUGCAAAUGUAACACAUAACCUAAAAACAAGUAAAGUUUAUUUAAACUUUUGCAUACUUAAUAGAGUGCUCUCAAAACCUUUCAGAGAGAUCUGUGGAAUAUGCUGUGCAAAAUGUUUAAUGGAAAAAGCUUCGUAUGAAAGACAGAAAUGCCAGAUCCUAGCUGCAACCUUAAGGUCUCCAAAGAAGACUGUUGGGGACAUACACGUAUUAUGAUAAUGUUAACCACUUCCCCAAAGCCUCGCCUGUGGCCAAGGCCUUGCACAAACUGCGGUCACUAUUGGGUUGACUGCUCUGCUCUGCCUAAGUCAAGGUAGGUCAAUUUCCCCAAGUUCCCCAAACACAGGAAAACCUCUCAGACUUUUCAGGUCUGGCUGCCAAAGACUUGUGCUCUCCUACAGCAGCAUAAGCUGCGGUGUGGUUCUGUGUGAUAGUCGAAGACUGACAUCAGCCUCUAAUAAAAGCACCCCUGGAGCCUAGAGUCCCACUGAGCUGGUAAACAGCAUCCAGAAGUCAGCUGUGACCUACAAACUGACCCAAAGGUGAGCUACAUGGGAACUCCAAGUAGUCCUAUAAACCCAGAAAGCCCUGAUUGCUGAUGAAGAAUGUGAACCAUUCCAGCUGAGGUGGCUGCUCCAUUUCCUCGGCUGCCACAGACACUAAACAAGCUGACUGUGGUGGACCAGCCCUGUAAUCCCAGCACUCUGGAGGCAGAGGCAAGAAGGUCUCUGUGAGUUCUAGGGCAGUCUGGGCUC
rnacentral:sRNA from 1 species